rnacentral:pre_miRNA from 1 species
UUGAGGGGACUGUUGUCUGGCCUGAGGCCACCAACAAGAUCUAUAUGUCAAAUCUUGAUCUAAUCUUUGUAAUCUAGUUACAGUUAGAUCAUGUGUUAGUGACGUCGGACCAGGCUUCAUUCCCCCCAA